CCGGAGAAUGUUAUCACGGGAGACACACGGCGGGUGCUAACGUCCGUCGUGAAGAGGGAAACAACCCAGACCGCCAGCUAAGGUCCCAAAGUCAUGGUUAAGUGGGAAACGAUGUGGGAAGGCCCAGACAGCCAGGAUGUUGGCUUAGAAGCAGCCAUCAUUUAAAGAAAGCGUAAUAGCUCACUGGUCGAGUCGGCCUGCGCGGAAGAUGUAACGGGGCUAAACCAUGCACCGAAGCUGCGGCAGCGACRCUYAKGYGUUGUUGGGUAGGGGAGCGUUCUGUAAGCCUGYGAAGGUGKSYYGUGAGGSWUGCUGGAGGUAUCAGAAGUGCGAAUGCUGACAUAAGUAACGAUAAAGCGGGUGAAAAGCCCGCUCGCCGGAAGACCAAGGGUUCCUGUCCAACGUUAAUCGGGGCAGGGUGAGUCGACCCCUAAGGCGAGGCCGAAAGGCGUAGUCGAUGGGAAACGGGUUAAUAUUCCCGUACUUGGUGUUACUGCGAAGGGGGGACGGAGAAGGCUAUGUUGGCCGGGCGACGGUUGUCCCGGUUUAAGCGUGUAGG
rnacentral:rRNA from 1 species